AGGACGAACGCUGGCGGCGUGCUUAACACAUGCAAGUCGAACGGUGAAGCCUUUCGGGGUGGAUCAGUGGCGAACGGGUGAGUAACACGUGAGCAAUCUGCCCUUGACUCUGGGAUAACUUCGGGAAACCGGAGCUAAUACCGGAUAUGACGCAUGGCCGCAUGGUCUGUGUGUGGAAAGAUUUAUUGGUCAGGGAUGAGCUCGCGGCCUAUCAGCUUGUUGGUGGGGUAAUGGCCUACCAAGGCGACGACGGGUA
rnacentral:rRNA from 1 species